rnacentral:lncRNA from 1 species
CAAGUUUGGAGAAAUUUUUUGUGACAGUAACCUGUUCCCACAAAUAUUAGCUAGUGGAGCAGCGAUUUGAACCUCAGUCUCUGUGACUCCACAGACCUUGUACUCAACCCUUUGUUAUGACUCAGCAAUGAGUUAGUUUGUAUUUUUAAGAAUGUUGGAAUCUAUCAGGUCUUUGCAAAUAAUUCUUUUUCACAGCCAAGACUUCUCUGAAGCACAAAGAUUCUCUGGAGGAUGAAAUCAUCCAACUCAGUCAAUAAACAUCUAUCUGAAGUAGUAACACUUUUUGUUUCUGCUUUAGAGGAGAUUGCUGAUACCAGACUCGAAGAACAUGAGCACUAUGAGAUGGGGUUUUGCCAUGUUGCCCAGGCUGGUCUCAAACUCCUCAGCUUAAGU